UAACCAGAUGUUCUGGGGUCUCUCUUGCCUGCAAUCUUCUUGGCUGGUGGCUGGAACUUUAAAGAAAGAGAUCCAUGGGCAGUGGGAAGAGUGGACUGAGAGGCAGGCAGCCGGGGGCCCGCCCUGCGUAUGCUGGGGAAAGAAGAGCCGCGGCAUGUCUAAGCUGAAAGGCCUCCCAAACCCCUGAAUCCCACCGUUUCCCAAAUGAGCAUAAUGAGGCCAAGAGAGGGGAAGGCACUUAUCCAAGGCCACAAGCAAGCUGGGGACCAGGACCCUCCCACCACAUCAGCUGCCCCAUGGUAGCGCCCGAAGGAACCCUCUCACGGGAGAGCAGGACGCAGCCAGGUCUCAGGGGACAGCAAUGUGCAAGAGCUUGCUUGAGCCAGCUUAAGAGAGCCAACUGCUUGAGUUUCAAGAAUUUGAUGAGCUGGUUGAUACCACAUCGAUAGCCUGAAGUCAGCCAUGGUAAGAGUAUUUACAUCAUGGAAAUUGGCAAACACUAGACAUCAGGGUUUUUGUUUUGUUUUGUUUUGUUGAGAGCUUGUUAUUAAAGAUUUACCAGCACACCGCUGAAUACCAGUGUCCCUGAUUCAGUGCUCUGGUUCCUAGGGAAUGGGGUUGAGGAGCAGGACAAGUGCCUGGAGUUGUGUGACACAGCAGCCCUGAUGGGGAUUCAUGCUCUGGGGCUGGGUUUCUGUUGAAUACCUCUUCAGCUUGCUGCAUUAAUGCAUUGAUUUUACUUUAUGUACUUGGGUUCAUGGCUUAUUAUGCAAAUGAGAGCAACCUAUCUUCAAAUACCA